rnacentral:rRNA from 1 species
AGUAACGCGUGAGGAACCUGCCUUGAAGAGGGGGACAACAGUUGGAAACGACUGCUAAUACCGCAUGAAGCAUAGGGGUCGCAUGAUCUUUAUGCCAAAGAUUUAUCGCUUCAAGAUGGCCUCGCGUCUGAUUAGCUAGUUGGCGGGGUAACGGCCCACCAAGGCGACGAUCAGUAGCCGGACUGAGAGGUUGAACGGCCACAUUGGGACUGAGAUACGGCCCAG